rnacentral:rRNA from 1 species
AUGUGGUUUAAUUCGAUGAUACGCGAGGAACCUUACCUGGGCUCAAAUGUAUGUUGACGUAUUCUGAAAGGGAUACUUCUUCGGACAAUAUACAAGGUGCUGCAUGGUUGUCGUCAGCUCGUGCCGUGAGGUGUCGGGUUAAGUCCCAUAACGAGCGCAACCCUAUCAUUAGUUGCCAUCAGGUCAAGCUGGGGACUCUAAUGAAACUGCCUACGCAAGUAGUGAGGAAGGUGGGGAUGACGUCAAAUCAGCACGGCCCUUACGUCCAGGGCUACACACGUGCUACAAUGGCCGGUACAAAGGGCAGCUACCUGGUGACAGGAUGCUAAUCUCAAAAGCCGGUCUCAGUUCGGAUCGGAGUCUGCAACCCGACUCCGUGAAGCUGGAAUCGCUAGUAAUCACGCAUCAGCCAUGGCGCGGUGAAUACGUUCCCGGGCCUU